CAAAGUUUAUAGUUUAAAAAGUUUAAGAAGUUUUAAAAAGUUUUGCAUUUUGUUGGUUUUCAGUCUGUAAUGGUUUGAAGUCUAACGUAGUUUUAAAAGGUUAAAGUUUGAAUGUUUUAAAGGCAAUACAGUCUGUCAGAGAUAGAUAGAUAGAUAGUAAUGGUUAGAUGAUAGAUAGAUAGAUAGAUAGAUAGAUAGAUAGAUAGAUAAGUAGAUAGAUAACAUAAUUAGCAAGUUACUAGAAUGAUUCUAGCAUGAUUAUCAUUUUACUAGCAUGUUAACAUGUUUAACAUUUUAUUAACAUGAUAACAGGGGUGGUUCCUAGUCUGUUGCUAUGCGGUUGCUAGGGUAUCCAGGAUGGUUGCUAGGGUGUUGCUAUGCCGUUGCUAAGGUAUCCAGGGUGGUUGCUAGGGUGUUGCUAUGCGGUUGCUAGGGUGCCCAGGGUGGUUGCUAAGGUGUUGCAAUGCGGUUGCUAGGGUAACAGGGGUGGUUGCUAGGGUGUUGCUAUACGGUUGCUAAGGUAACAGGGGUGGUUGCUAGGGCGGUUGCUAAGGUACCCAGGGUGGUUGCUAAGGUGUUGCUAUGCUGUUGCUAGGGUAUCCAGGGUGGUUGCUAGGGUGUUGCUAUGCGGUUGCUAGGGUACCCAGGGUGGUUGCUAAGGUGUUGCUAUGUGGUUGCUAAGGUAUCCAGGGUGGUUGCUAGGGUGUUGCUAUGCGGUUGCUAGGGUACCAAGGGUGGUUGCUAGGGUGUUGCUAUGCAGUUGCUAAGGUAUCCAGGGUGGUUGCUAAGGUGUUGCUAUGCGGUUGCUAGGGUACCCAGGGUGGUUGCUAGGGUGUUGCUAUGCCGUUGCUAGGGUACCCAGGGUGGUUGCUAGGGUGUUGCUAUGCGGUUGCUAAGGUAUCCAGGGUGGUUGCUAGGGUGUUGCUAUGCCGUUGCUAAGGUAUCCAGGGUGGUUGCUAGGGUGUUGCUAUGCGGUUGCUAGGGUACCCAGGGUGGUUGCUAAGGUGUUGCUAUGCGGUUGCUAAG